rnacentral:rRNA from 1 species
ACGCUGGCGGCAGGCCUAACACAUGCAAGUCGAGCGGAUGACGGGAGCUUGCUCCUUGAUUCAGCGGCGGACGGGUGAGUAAUGCCUAGGAAUCUAGCCUGGUAGUGGGGGACAACGUUUCGAAAGGAACGCUAAUACCGCAUACGUCCUACGGGAGAAAGCAGGGGACCUUCGGGCCUUGCGCUAUCAGAUGAGCCUAGGUCGGAUUAGCUAGUUGGUGGGGUAAUGGCUCACCAAGGCGACGAUCCGUAACUGGUCUGAGAGGAUGAUCAGUCACACUGGAACUGAGACACGGUCCAGACUCCUACGGGAGGCAGCAGUGGGGAAUAUUGGACAAUGGGCGAAAGCCUGAUCCAGCCAUGCCGCGUGUGUGAAGAAGGUCUUCAGGAUUGUAAAGCACUUUAAGUUGGGAGGAAGGGCAGUAAGUUAAUACCUUGCUGUUUUGACGUUACCGACAGAAUAAGCACCGGNUAACUCUGUGCCAGCAGCCGCGGUAAUAC